GUUCAACUAAUGCUAGUGUUGAUAUUGAUGGCUCACUUGGUGAAUCAGACUGCGUGAAGGAAAGCGGUUGUAAGAAAAGGACAAGAGCUGAAUCAUGCACCUCAUCAAGUUCCAAAGCUUGCAGGGAGAAAUUAAGGAGAGAGAAACUGAAUGAAAAGUUCAUGGAAUUGGCGGUGCUUCUUGAGCCCAGCAGGCCUCCAAAAACAGACAAGAGUGCCAUUCUUGUUGAUGCUGUUCGCGUGGUGACACAGUUACGUGGUGAGGCUCAAAAAUUGAAAGACUCAAAUUUGGAUCUACAAGAAAAGAUAAAGGAGUUGAAGGUUGAGAAAAAUGAGCUUCGAGAUGAAAAGCAGAGGCUGAAGUCCGAGAAAGAGAAGCUAGAGCAACAACUAAAG
rnacentral:misc_RNA from 1 species